ACGCAGUCUCGUACACGCCCAACGAGCGCACACACCCGCACUCCAUGCACGCGCGAUGGGCGCACACACUCGCAUCCCUACACGUGCACACACCCGCGCUCCAAUUACCGCGCUAGCGCGCAAAAGAGCCGCAACUUCCGAGUGGGACUCGGCAUGCGGGGGCAGUGCCCGGUACUUCACCAUCAGUCACCUUCGCGUCCGCCUCCUCCCCUGCUGGUUGCACCUCCAGCCGCAGAGAUUUCCGGCUGGGGCACCAGAACUGUCCAGGCCGAAAGAGCUGCUCCUCCGUCACAAAGCGCAGUUGCACACUGUACUGCAGGCGCGCGGGGACCCGGGCCGGAGCCGGGGUCGCAGCCAUGGUCCAAGCGCCUCUGCUCCUGAGCCCUAGCAGUGCCUCCCCCGCGCUGCUCUGGGCACCGAGAAACUGCUGGGGCAAGGGGGAGGGAUUUGGAAGCGCGCACCACCUUCCCCAGCUCCCGUUGCAAGUUCAGUCUUCGACCUCCGAGACGCCCGGUGACUUCUGCUGGCACCUGCUGCCCUCGGCAUCACCUCCCUCAUCCCCCUGGAGGGCACGCUGGAAAGCUGCAACUCCCCACCCUCCGCACAGGAGCGCCCCGUAGACGCGCAGAUGGGCCCAGCCACCCAGCGGGGCGGCAGCCCUGAGCACACAAGUUUGGAGAGCGCGCGAGGCACCUGAAAGUGGUUGGGGUUUGGAAGCAAAAGGGUGACACCUGCUGUUCGCUGGGACCGCUCUGCGGGUGUGGGCGUCGGUUUGGAAACGUCCUUUGCCUGAGCUCUGCUUGGUAUAAAUCAAUGCAUCUUGGUUCCAUUCUUCAUCAUUUGCUGGUAGCUAAAUUAUGGUAAAUUCAGCUAAGGACAUUUUAAAAUCCUGUUUAAUUUGUCCACAUGCUAAAUAUCCCAGCACACAAGAGAAAAAGCAGCAUGUACUUGGAUAAGACAAACCUAGGGCUUCCUUCGAGUUAAGGAACAGUCUUGGAAGUCUUGUUAUAGUUAAUGGUUUUUUGAGUGGAUGAGCAAAUGAAUGAAUAUACAAAUGGUUAUGCACACAAUUAAGCAAACUACUUGAUCACAUUCCUCCUUUUGGUUUUGCUUCCUCUACCUGUCAGUUGUCCUGAACACCUGCGGAGGUAUUUUGUGCAGGAUGGUUUACCACAUUGGCCUUGGGAGUUGAGGAAGCACCAGCUUAGGUUCUGCCACGUGCUCUUUCCUGACAGCGAGUGCUGCUGGCUGCUGACGCCUAGAAUCUCAGCACGGGAGCUGCCUUUGUCACAGACCUUGGUUCCCCAUUCAAUCGAGCACCUGUGCAGUUGCCCUGUGGUCUAGCAUCCCAGGCUCAGCAGUGACAGCUCCUGAUGGGCUUUCACCUGACUUUCUAAAUCAGUGCUGUUCUAAAUCUGUGCUAAAUCUGGUGACCAGCCAGAGCCUGGUCACCCCUGCAUGGAGUAGGAGUGAAGCUUAUGAAAAGGUGAGGUGCCAAACACACAGAGGAGAACACGGAGGAGGCCAUAUUGUAAUAAAGAGAAAGCAAGCAGUCAGAAGUCACCCCAUAAAACACCUUCCACCCUCUGAGCAUGACCAGCAAAGCGGUUUCUUCUUGCGGACACUGCAUCAGCCCAGCUCAAAGUGCAUUCCAUUCUGAUGAACAUCCACAAACAGUUAUGAAGAAGACCCAAAUGUCAUGAUUUUGUUCCUCUCAGAUAAUAAAAAUAUCAUGAUUCUGAAGGAGUGUUGGUGGGUGUUCAAGUCAAUUCAGUUACAAGCAUACGCCUUACCCCAGUUCUCGUGGCUUCAUCCUGAAUUAGAGUUGUCCCCUGUCAUCUGGAAUAUAUUUCCCAUUGAGACACAUUACUCUCACUCCUUCUACAGCUGUCCCAGGGUCAGUGCUUGAUUUCUCAGAGAUUUUGUUAUGUGAAUCAGUCCAAAGUGUGUUACAGCAAGACUAAGUCAUCAUGAGUCACAUGAUCCACACAUUUCCUAUUUGUAUCUUUGCUUGGUUGAGUGUGUUGUGGGGGGUUAGAAUAUAUUUUGGUCUGCUUUAACCUUUGUGUUCCAAUUCACUCUUAGGUUGAAAGAAAAAUAUAAACUCAAAUUUAAAGAAUAGCCUUCUUGUAAAAGACAAGCUUGGCUAUGACUAAGCAGUUGUUACUUGAUGAGCGAGAGAAGCCCCUUCUUGGGUAAUUGGGGCUGCAGGAAUGGAGUGACCGUUUCCCCAUCAGCAUCCCCUCUGGGUCCUUCAGGUCUGAGCUAGAAGAGCAAGGGCCAGCGUCCCCCAGCACAUAGUUGUCUUGAUGCCACAGACAAAAUAAUUUAAUUCAUGUAUGCGUCCUCAUAAAUCUGACAAAUGUUUAGAAAAUGGAAGCUUUG
rnacentral:lncRNA from 1 species